rnacentral:rRNA from 1 species
AACGAACGCUGGCGGCGUGCCUAACACAUGCAAGUCGAACGAGAAAGGGGCUUCGGCUCCGAGUAAAGUGGCGCACGGGUGAGUAACACGUGGGUAACCUGCCUCUAAGAUUGGGAUAACUCGUCGAAAGAUGAGCUAAUACCGAAUAAGACCACAGUUUCUGCGGGGACAGAGGUCAAAGGUAGCCUCUGCUUGCAAGCUAUCACUUAGAGAUGGGCCUGCGCACCAUUAGCUAGUUGGUAGGGUAACGGCCUACCAAGGCAAAGAUGGCUAGCUGGUCUGGGAGGAUGAUCAGCCACACUGGAACUGAGACACGGUCCAGACUCCUACGGGAGGCAGCAGUGGGGAAUAUUGCGCAAUGGGCGAAAGCCUGACGCAGCAACGCCGCGUGAGUGAUGAAGGCCUUCGGGUCGUAAAGCUCUGUCGGGAGGAACGAAUGCUCCUGAGGUUAACAGCCUCGGGAGGUGACGGUACCUUCAAAGGAAGCACCGGCUAACUCUGUGCCAGCCGCCGCGGUAAAAC